GGACUGUGGUCUGCAACCCGACCACACGAAGCUGGAAUCGCUAGUAAUCGCGGAUCAGAAUGCCGCGGUGAAUACGUUCCCGGGUCUUGUACACACCGCCCGUCACACCAUGGGAGUCAGCAACGCCCGAAGUCAGUGACCCAACCAUUAUAGGAGGGAGCUGCCGAAGGCGGGGCAGGUGACUGGGGUGAAGUCGUAACAAGGUAAC
rnacentral:rRNA from 1 species